AGAGGCAAGCACAGCCUCCUGGAGGCUAGAAGCUAUGAAGCCUGCUGAGGAGUGGACUAGGAAGCUGUGAGUGGCCUUCCAGAGGCAAGCACAGCCUCCUGGAGGCUAGAAGAUGAAUGAGUCCAGGGAGGCCACCGGCUCAUGCGGGUGAAGAGAGAGAGUAACCAAGGCCAUUCAAGGUCACAGAGGAAACAGAGAGCCCCAGUUGUUCUAAGUGAUUUUGAAACCAUCAGAAACCCCUACAUGCCUGCGGGGUCGGGUUUGUGGGAAAUUUUCGGAGAAAAAUUCCACAUUCUAACCACCGGCCAUUUUAGAUGGAACUCUGCAAUGCUUAAUCUUGGUUGUCAGCUCGACUGCCAGCUAGUUUGUGCCAUGAGCCCCUGAACUCUGCGGCUGCUUCCACUGACAUCAAAACCCAGUGUGGACUGAAGACCAGCGCUUCCCCAGGAAUCCUCUAGACCUUCAGUGCCAGAUGGGGACCACUGAGGCACCCUGUCUCACAGAUUGAGCAGCUUCUGGGCUGUCAUUCUCUCCAGUGUGAAGACAGCUAUUGUUGGACUACCCAGACAGUAUCCUGAGAGCUAAUUUAAUAAAUCCUUUCAAUACACACUCAUUGUGUUCCUCUAGAGCAGCAUCCUCAACCUUCCAAAUCUGCAAACCUUUAAUAUAGUUCCUCAUGUGUGGUGACCCCCGACAAUAAAAUUACUUUGUUACUACCUCAUAA
rnacentral:lncRNA from 1 species